rnacentral:rRNA from 1 species
GUGCAGCGAUACCGUGAGGUGGAGCAAAUCACAAAACCCGGUCUCAGUUCAGAUUGUAGGCUGCAACUCGCCUGCAUGAAGUUGGAAUUGCUAGUAAUCGCGAAUCAGAAUGUCGCGGUGAAUACGUUCCCGGGCCUUGUACACACCGCCCGUCACACCAUGAGAGUUUGUAACACCCAAAGCCGGUGGGGUAACCUUUUGGAGCCAGCCGUCUAAGGUGGGACAGAUGAUUGGGGUGAAGUCGUAACAAGGUAAC